rnacentral:rRNA from 1 species
UCGAGGAUCUUCGGCAAUGGGCGCAAGCCUGACCGAGCGACGCCGCGUGCGCGAUGAAGGCCUUCGGGUUGUAAAGCGCUGUCGAGGGGGAGGAAAGCCCGCAAGGGCCUGACCUAUCCCUGGAGGAAGGACGGGCUAAGUUCGUGCCAGCAGCCGCGGUAAGACGAACCGUCCAAACGUUGUUCGGAAUCACUGGGCUUAAAGGGCGCGUAGGCGGGCGGCCAAGUCAGGGGUGAAAUCUUUCGGCCCAACCGGAAAAGUGCUUCUGAUACUGGCUGUCUCGAGGGAGGUAGGGGCGCGUGGAACUGGUGGUGGAGCGGUGAAAUGCGUAGAUAUCACUAGGAACGCCGGUGGCGAAAGCGACGCGCUGGACCUUUUCUGACGCUGAGGCGCGAAAGCCAGGGGAGCAAACGG